rnacentral:ncRNA from 1 species
GUCAGAUUCUAAAUUACCAGAUUUUCAAGGGGGUGCGGAGCAUGCAUCUAAUGUUGCUAUUGCAGCACUCUCUGGGGCAAAUAUUAUUUAUGAGUCG